UGGGCAUGCAUACAAAUGACACCCCGUAGGUUAGGGAUAUGACUCACAGCACAAAAUCAAACAGAAACCUCGUAUCCAAAAAAGUAAAAUGGGGUUAAUUAUUUUCAUGUUUAGUGAUAUGUUUAAUUUGCUUCAUAAAUGAAACAUGCUAGUUCUAAUUCUCAAAUGACUACUGUUAAUAGAUAAUGAAAGCUUAUUUGGCUCUUUCAAAUAUGGAGCUUUCCAUUUUCAAACUUCUCGGAGAUCUCUUGAUAAUUCACACUUGGAGAUAAUUGAAUAUAUGACAUAUUUUGAAGGGUAACUGUUGAUUGCUGAUUGAGCAGAUAAAUAAGAAAUUAUUCAGUGAGAACAGUUGGCUCAAAGUCACUACAAUAAAGGGCACAUAUUUUCAGGUUCAUUACUCCUCACAAAAUAUUCAAGACAGUCUAAUUAAUUAAAAUUUUCCUUUAGGCCAUCGGUUUCCUGAUGUGUUCAAUUCUGUUUUUCAGCAAAUAUCAUCAGUGUGAAUACAUGAGAGUUUUAUGACUGCUUUACCUCCCUAUUUACUUUUUGAGUAAAUAGUUCU
rnacentral:lncRNA from 1 species